rnacentral:rRNA from 1 species
UACGAAGGGGGCUAGCGUUGCUCGGAAUCACUGGGCGUAAAGCGCACGUAGGCGGCUUUUUAAGUCAGGGGUGAAAUCCUGGAGCUCAACUCCAGAACUGCCUUUGAUACUGGGAAGCUUGAGUCCGGGAGAGGUGAGUGGAACUCCGAGUGUAGAGGUGAAAUUCGUAGAUAUUCGGAAGAACACCAGUGGCGAAGGCGGGUCUCUGGACAGUUCCUGACGCUGAGGCACGAAGGUCAGGGGAGCAAACGGG